rnacentral:rRNA from 1 species
UACAGAGGUCUCAAGCGUUGUUCGGAUUCAUUGGGCGUAAAGGGUGUGUAGGUGGCGCGCUAAGUCGGGUGUGAAAUUUCGGAGCUUAACUUCGAAACUGCAUUCGAUACUGGCGUGCUUGAGGACUGGAGAGGAGACGUGGAAUUUACGGUGUAGCGGUGAAAUGCGUAGAUAUCGUAAGGAAGACCAGUGGCGAAGGCGGGUCUCUGGACAGUUCCUGGACGGCUGAGG